CUAGAGACAUGUACAAGUAUGUCCAAGAAUCUAUGACAAAUUGGAGCCAUGACCGACCCAUCUACAUUCAGGAUGAAACCAAAAAUAUUGCAUUUCAAGUACUAGUUAAGGCAUUGAUUAAUUUGGAUCCUGGUGAGGAAAUG